rnacentral:rRNA from 1 species
UACGGAGGGGGCUAGCGUUGUUCGGAAUUACUGGGCGUAAAGCGCACGUAGGCGGCUUUGUAAGUUAGAGGUGAAAGCCCGGGGCUCAACUCCGGAAUUGCCUUUAAGACUGCAUCGCUAGAAUUGUGGAGAGGUAAGUGGAAUUCCGAGUGUAGAGGUGAAAUUCGUAGAUAUUCGGAAGAACACCAGUGGCGAAGGCGGUUGCCUGGAGCUUUGCUGACGCUGAGGCGGCGAAAGCGUGGGGAGCGAUCCGG